CCUACCCUGUGGAGUGAGAAGGUCUCUGAGCAGUGUGUGGCUAGGCAGAAAAGAGGAAUUGGGUAAUGACCUGUCAUAUGUUUGGGCUUAUCUAGGAUCAUAGCUGGUGUGGGGGUUUGUGACCUGCACAAUGGAGGAGACCUUGUCAUACCUGGUGAAACAGCAAAAGGAGAUGUAGAUGACUAUGCAAAGUUUCCAGGAGUCUCACCACUUGGAGAGGCAGGUGUUGCUUGCUUGGCAGCUGAAGCAGUAAAAGAGCCUGCAUGACCUCAUCUGAGAGCAAGUGAAUGUGCUGCAGCAGUAGCAGUUACUACAAAGAAGGGUAGAUAAAAAAGAGGAAAUUCACAUGGCCUUUGGAAGACACCUGCACGUGAACUCUUUUUAACGUGGGGAAACAGGCAUGCAGGCGGUGACCACACGGGACUUGACAAGAGGAAAACCCUGACCCAGUGGCAAGGAGAUCCAAGACAACCAGGGGCCUCCUUCCUUCUGCAGCCCUCAUCCGCCUUCAUAGCCACAGAGUACUAAAAGUUCCUCUAUAUGUGCCUGAUCCACCGCUGGGGUCUUGUGAAAUUUGGACCAUGGUUAGUCAGGAGCCUCGCUGAUGGAUGAGUGGCGGUGAAGUGAGGAGCAGUGAUUUAUGGGAGUCUUUAGUCACAACUCUGCAUGCAGAUGGCAGCCUUGUGAUGGUCAUCUUGUGCUUGGAUGAGACAGGAGUGCAUUUUGGCAGCAGCGACUGUGACUGAGCAGGCCUUUUUAGGAUCCCUUCUGUUCACCCCAAAUAGGGAGGGGGCUAGAAAAGGUGCCCCAAACAUAGGCUGUCUCACACUCUUCCGACUGGAUGGCUGUAUCCAGUGGGAUCACUCAACUCCAUGGCUGAAAGAAGAGAGAGAAGACAAUGAAUUUCACAACUUGAGAUGUCCGCAUUCUUGUGGACUCUCAGCGCAGUGAAUGCCCAGAAAGAACUGCCAUAAUUGCUAGAGAACUGGCAAGACUCAGCAUUGACAUUGCAGCUCUUAGUGAGAACUGCCGGGCUGAUGAGGGUCAAUUAAAAGAGGAUGAAGGUGGCUACACCUUCUUUUGGAAAGAAAAGUCACUGAAGAGAUGCAUUCACAGGAUUGGCUUUGCCAUCAAAAAUAAGAUUGCCUGUCAGCUUUUGGAGCUUCCCAUAGGGAUCAACAAGCAUCUCAUGAAUCUUCGGCUCAAGCUCAGCAACAACCAAUAUUCCACGGUCAUCAGUGCAUACGUCCAACACUUGAUGAUGAGGAAGACAACAAGGAGCAGUUUUAUAGCGCUCUCUAUGCAGUCCUCACAACCAACCACACCUAAGGCAGACAAACUCAUUCUCCUGGGAGAUUUCAAUGCCGGAGUCAGACGGGACUCCCCAACUCUGGAACAGCACAAUAGGCAAAAAAGGGAUGGGAAAUGUAAAUCCCAAUGGUAUUCUCCUCCUCAGCAAAUGCGUGGAGCAUGACCUGCUCAUUACAAAUACCAUCUUUAGGAAGAGUAACAAAUUUAAGACAACCUGGAAACAUCCUCAGUCUAAACACUGGCACCUCCUUGACUAUGUUAUAGUCAGAGUCUGAGACUAUGCUGAUGUCCAAGAUCAAUCAUGUACCUGCAGCUCACUCCACCACACCACAAACACCCAAAGACUAAGCAAAAGUGGUACAACGUCAAAGCACUUCAAGACCAAGACUGCUGCAAGAUGUUCCAGCAACACCUGUUUGAGAAACUCUAACUUGCCUGAUAACAUCAUUUGACAUUCAAGAGUACUGGGAUCAACUUAAAAAUACCAUUCACAGUGCAUGUGCUGAAACUAUAGGAUAUUCCACUCAUCGGCACCAAGACUGGUUUGACAAGAACAACAAGGAAAUCCUAGCAUUAAUUCAACAGAAAAGAACUGCAUUCUGUAACUGCCAAAAUGACCAACAAACCAAUGAAAACAUGAGGCUUAUCACUUACUCAAAGCAUCUACAUGACAUCAAAAAUAAGUGGUGGCAAGAGAAGGCAUCUGAGAUCCAGGUUUUUAUAGACCAGGAUGACAUGAGAAGCUUCUUUCAAGCAACAAAAAGUGUAUAUGAGCCCAACUCCCUUAUGUUCCCAGGAUGGCUCCACCCUCCUCAAGGACUAUACAGCCAUUAAACAAUAAUGGCAGGUGCACUUUGAGAGUCUACUAAACCGCAAAUCCACGGUCUCUGAAGACACCAUUGCAUCUAUUCCACGAUACUCAGUAAUACCUUGUUGAUCCCGCAUCUUCUGAGGAAGUCCAGCGUGCCACUACCCAGACAAAAAUCACAAGGCACCAGGCCCAGACGGCAUCCCAGCUGAGGUUUUUAAAAGUGGUGGAACACUGCUCCAGCACAAACUUUGCUAUUUCCUCGACACAAAAUCUGGAUCUGCGAAAAAAUACCACCUGACUUUAAGAACGCCAAUACUGUUACAAUAUUAAAGAAAGGGGACAAAUCUUUGUGCGGGAACCACAGAGGUAUUGCCCUCCUCUCCAUCACAGGGAAGAUCCUUGCCCAGAUCCUACUAAACUGCCUUCUCCCCCUUGCCAAGGAACUCAUCCUGGAAUCACAGUGUGGCUUCAGGCCAUCUUGAGGCACAACUGACAUGAUCUUCGUGGCACGACAGAUUCAGAGAAAUGUAGAGAACAAUACCAGGAACUGUUCAUGGCAUUCAUCGAUCUAACCAAGGCCUUUGACUCUAUAAAUCAUGAUGCCCUAUGGAAGGUGCUGUGUAGGUUUGGCUGUCCAUAGAAAUUUAUUUCCAUCAUCAGACUACUCCCUGAUGGGAUGACUGUCACCAUUCUGUGUAACAGCUCAGAGACCGAACCAUUCAUCAUUUGCACUGGUGUCAAGCAGGGCUGUGUCAUUGCUCCAGCCCUCUUCUCCAUUUACCUUGCCUUGAUUCUGAUGCUCAUCCGUGACCGCCUUCCUGAUGGAAUUGGGAUUGAGUAUCAUAUGGAUGGUCAACUCCUCAAUCUCUGACGUUUCCUAACAAAAUCUAAGAUCACAAGAAUUGGCAUCACUGAUCUACAGUAUGCAGAUGACUGCAUCAUUCUCGCGUGCACAUACAGGUCUACCUGCAAAGCACCCUAAAUCUUUUUUCAGAUGCCUAUCACAGCCUGGGUCUCCCUCUCAGCAUCAGGAAAACCAAGGUACUCUACCAGCCCUCACCAGCACAAACUACUCUUCGUACCCCACAAAUCACCAUCAGCGGAGAACCCCUGGAAAAUUUGGACCAUUUUCUAUAGCUUGGUAGCCACCUCUCCCAAAGAGCCAGCAUCAACACAGAAAUUGAAAACAGGAUCCGCUGCGUCAACACAUCUUUUGGAAGACUACUCAAACGAGUCAUCAAUGAUAGGGAUCUGCAAACAGGCACCAAGAUCUUGAUUUACAAGGCAGUUGUCAUCCCCACCCUUCUCUAUGGGUGUGAGACAUGGGUAACCUACAGACGACAUCUCAAGUGGCUGGAGUGGUUCCAGCAGUGCUGCCUCAGGAGGAUUCUCAGGAUCAGCUGGGAAGACCGAUGCACUAACAUUCAGGGUUCUCUCUACAGCCAACAUCAGCAGUAUAGAAGCUCAGGUCAUGAAAUACCAACUCUGCUGGGCUGGCCACUGUGUACGUAUGCCUGACACUCGACUCCAAAAGCAAGUACUCGUCUCUCAGUAAGUCAGGGAAGCAGGGCUUGCGGAGGACAGCGGAAGUGCUUCAAAGACAUACCAAAAGUACACCUUCAAACAGGAGGCAUCAACCCAAUCAACUGGGGAAGACUCUGCGCGGAACAGAACACAGCAGCACCCCACCCACACCAAGCCACAGCUCACUUUGAGGAGAACAGACGUACUCAUGAGACAGAGAAGUGACAAAGGAGGAAAGAAAAGGGCACAACAGUCCAGCCAACAACUAUGUCUCCUCCAAGAUUACACCUGUCACUUCUGUGGGAAAAUCUGCAGGGCACGAAUUGGGCUCCUCAGGCACUUAA